ensembl:sense_intronic Gm37525 predicted gene, 37525
AUUUUAUUUUAUUUAAAAAAAAUAAAAAGGGGUCUUGCUAUGUAGCCUAGACUGGCCUCAAACUCAAGAUCUUCUUCUUUCAGUCUCCCAAGUACUUGGGUCAUAGGGAUACACUGCUGUGCCCACCUAAGCUCUGUCUCUUUAAAGAUGGGGUAGCCAUAUAAAUUAUUUAAAGCUUUACUUAAAAACAAAAACAAAAACGAAAGAUGAGCUAGCAUCCAAACAUUACUGAUAACUAAAUGCUAUCUAUGGUCAGGCGUGAUUAGUUACUUGCAAGAUAGUCUUCCUAGGUGGCCAGAUCGCUUCCAAUUUGUGGUCCUCCUGUCUCAGAUUCCUGUGUUUGGGUAUCACAGGAGUUUCACCAUACUUCUGAGAAAACACAAAACAAAUUCAUUUAAAGAUCCUUAAUGUAGCUUUCUAAUGCAGCUAAUGUGUCCUCUCUCCCUCUCCCUCUCCCCUCUCCUCUCUCCCCUCUCCCUCUCCCCUCUCCCCUGUCCCCUCUCCCUCUCCCUCUCCUUCCCUCCCUUAAGGUGAGUUAUCUUCAUAAUCUGACCUGCUUUUCUUGGCUUAAGUUUUACAAAUUAAUAGUUUCUCAAAUGAAUGGCAGAUGAAUUAUUUACUGUUGUAAAUUCAGGCUUAUCCCAAAUCAUAAAACUGGUUCUAACAAGCUGGAAAGUCUUGGAAAAUGACAUAUUGGCUCUCAGUCUUCACUGUCUCAACUGCCUCAGGAGGUGUUUGGCCUAGACUUCUUUUCCAUGAUCAUUACCACCUCCACUAUUCUCCAGUUUAUAGCAACUGCAUGUGAUGCAUUUGAAAAUCAGUUCUCUUAAACCACAGCUAUGUUCUCCAGAAUACACUGAUGUGUAACCAAUAGAGAGAUCUUCAUUAUAACAAUUUCUUAAAAAAGAUUUAUUUAUUUUAUUUACAUGAGUACACUGUAGCUAUCUUCAGACACACCAGAAGAGGGCAUCAGAUCCCAUUACAGAUGGUUGUGAAUCACCAUGUGGCUGCUGGGAAUUGAACUCAGGACCUCUUGAUGAGCAGUCAGAGCCAUCUCUCCAGCCCAUUAAAACAACUUUUAAGUGGCAAUGAAUAAACAAACAAAAACACCCAAACAGGGCUGGAAAGACUAAGUGGUUAAGAGCCCUGCUGCAGUCAAUCUGUGUCUGGUUCUGUGAGAUCCGGCGCCCUCUCCUGGCCUCCACACAGACCUGCACUCAUGUGCACAUGCCCAGCUACACACACACACACACACACACACACACACACACACACACACACACCCUAGCAUUACCCAAUAUUUUCCCAUCCUUGUUUUUUAAAACUCUAUGGCUUAUUUUGUCUUUCCCUUUUCAUCCAACAGUGAACAGCUUGUUUGGAAGUGAGCAAUGAUGUGUUUGUUUGUUUGUUUGUUUGGUCUGUCUGUCUGUCUGUCUGUCUGUCUGUCUGUCUGUUAAACUGGCUAGAGGAGCUUUAGAAGCAUAGUGAUGCUCACACUGGUGGUUCCCAGAUAGUUUGCUUUGUUCUCAGAGACUGGUGAUUCUGCCUUUACUGUGUAGAAUUGUCUGUGACUUUUCCUUUAACCAUUAUCAGUGUUCACAGAUAUUCUGUGACUGCUAGCGUGAUAUGUGCAUUCUCUGUAUCGAGUGUGAAUUUUACUAUAUAGCUAUAAGAUCUACAUCAUCAAGUUUGUCUUUUUCUCCAUUUGGCGUGCGAAAUCUUUCUUAAUAGUGUUAUCAUCUCUCUCUCUCUCUCUCUCUCUCUCUCUUUUCUUUUUUUCUUUUUUUUUUUACAUCUUACACACACUGUGUUUCCAUUUUACAGAAGGAAAUGUAGUGAAUAGACAUUUGUAACUGGGGCUGUUUAUUAACUGAGAAUCUUGGUGGCUUGUGACUUUCUCUGGAAAGAUUUCAGUAAAUGUCUUUUUGUUCAAGAUUUGUCAGACCACCACAGAACUCCACUCAAUCCUAACAUAAUGUGCUAGUGAGUUGUUUUGGGGGGGGUGUUAUUUACAAGACUCUGAGUGAGAGGAUCCUUGCCAGAUUAUGAAUGACUCAAAGGUCAACACAUUCCCAGGUGCUCAUCCCAGCAUAGACUAUAGCUUGUGAUAGCUGCAUCUCUGGCGCUCCCUGUGUGGCUUACAGGCAACUCUUUUAGUUCAAAAGUCUCUUCUCUCCAGCAAUGGGAAAUGGUUAUAUAAUCUUUGGGAAAGGCCAUGUAAGUUUAAGGAACUUUCUGAGACUUGUGAAUUGCUGACCUUUUUAGCCAUGAAAGUUCCAUUGACUUCCUUAGACUUAAGGAGCCCCACGAUGUUCCUAUCCAGGAUGGAACAUUUCAGUUUAAAGGCAAUUGCUAUGUAGCAUUCAGCCUUUAGAACCACUAAGAGUCCAUUUCAGAAAUGUUUGAAGCUUCUGUCUCCAAAGGUACCUUGUCAGAUGUUAAAUACAACCUGUGAUUUUUUUCUUGUUUUCACCUGUUCCAGUUUGCUUCCUGUUGCUGUGAUAAACACAGUGACCAAAGACAACUUGAAGAGAAAAGGGUUUGUGUUAGCAUACAGGAGUCUAUAGUCUAUCACUGAGGGAAGCCAAGACAGGUAUUUUAAGCAGAAACUUAUGGAGCUCUUCUAAGGCCCAUGUUUAGCUACCUUUCUUCUAUACCCCAGGCUCAUCUGCCUAAGAAUGGAACUGCCCAGAGUGGGCUGAAUCGUUCUAUGCUAAUUAGCAAUCAAGAAAAUGUUUCUCUGCGCAGUGGUGGCAUACGCCUUUAAUCCCAGCACUUGGGAGGCAGAGGUGGGUGGAUUUCUGAGUUCAUGGCCAGUCUGGGCUAGAGUGAGUACCAAGACAGACAGGAUUACACAGAGAAACCGUGUCUC